CCCUCCGCGGUCCCACCCUUGCCGAUCCGCGCUAGUGGGGUGUGUGAGGACUUGGGGGCGCGCCUGCCAGAAAGCGCACACUUUCCCUGCGGGCUCGCGAUCCCCGGGUGCGAGCAGCAAGUGCGGAGACCCUCCCUGCUGCCAACGCAACCAACUUUCCUAACCCGGGGCAAAGAUGUCAUGGAGCCCACAUUUUCAAUCUGGGGACCCACGGUGGUCAAAGGUAUUCUUAUCGUGGAUAAAUAUUGACCUCUGCCGAGCCACACCUUUGUUCUAAUGGAAUUUUACUCUCGUUUAAGAAUCUUAUUGGAAAAAAUAAAUAAUAUGUGUAUCGCAUGCACAGUGCCCGUAUAUACUCGACUACAAUUACACAUUUGCAGAGUCUGAAGUAAAAGGACCGUCUCGCACGCCCUCCCCACUGCGGUCCAGCCUCAGAGGUAACCUCCGGUCACAGCGUCUUCCCACCACCCUACCCCGCCCUCCUCGCAUAGAUUGCCAGAGGAAACUCCCCGGCUUCUCAAAAGGAUUCUUCAUGCAGCUCACGCACACAGCGAGGGCACGAUUUCCACUGGAGCUGAUUCAUUCUUAGGCUUGGUUACUGGAGAAGUUCUCAGCAAGAAACCCAAAUCUGAGACCUACUGCUCUUUCCUGUGAGAAAGAAUGCUCAGAAAGUCCCUUGCGCAACCAGGGAGGGGACUGGUACCCAAACCAAGGAGAUGAAAAGAUUCAGCAGGAAGCUGGGUGUG